rnacentral:lncRNA from 1 species
AGAAAGACUUAUUUUAUGCUUUAUAUGGCUUUAGCCACUUAGAGCUGGUCUUAAAGUGGAAGGCCACUAUGUUUUGUGCACUGUAGAGCUGAGUAAUAUGAAUUACCUCCUAGCAACUCAAAUUUUCAAAAUUGCCAAGUUUUGAAGUAAUUAUUAAAAUAAUAGCAUUGUGUAUGUGGGGGCAGGGGAUAAAAUUAUACCCAGUAACAGAAUAAAGUGUCAUUUUGCCCACAAGUCCCUUUCUGCUGCCACUAGAAAGGAAGACACAGCGUCAUGGGUUCAUGUUCUAUAAAGAAACAAAUAGUUGGCUCCUCAGACAUACAUUAUUUUAAUUUUUAUUUAUGUAUGUGGGUGUUUUGCCUGCAUGUAUGUCCAUGCACCAUGCUUGUCCUAUGUCUGGUGUCCUUGGAGGCCAGAAGAGGGAACCUUUGGAUUCAGUGAACCUAGAGUUUGGCUAUGAGAUGUCAUUUGGCCACUAGGAAUUGAACCUGGUUCCUCUGGAAGAGUAGUCAGUGCUCUUAGCCGCUAAGCCAUCUCUCUAGUCCCCUUACGUUAUAAUUAAAUACAUAUCCCUAUACAUAUAAUCCAGUGAAUGCUUAUUAUUUUGUCAUUGUUAAGACUCUUAAAAGAGAUUAAUUCUACUUUUUCUGUUUCUAAAAUUUUCUGUGUAUUUGUCCUUUUCUGUGUGUGUGGUGGGAAUUCAACACAGUGCCCCACACACACUAGGCAAGUACUCGGCCACUGAGUCAUGCUUUUUCUGUCCUAUUUGUACAUACUUAUGGGCAUAGUAUGACUCAAGAAAGGCCAAAUUACAGUAAUUAGUAUUUCCAUCUCUAUCUCUCCCCCCUUUUUUUUGUAUUGAAGUCUUCAGAUUCAGAUAAUAAAUUGUAGACUCUAGUCACAAUUGUGCUAUAAAAGCAUUAGAAUUUCUCUUAUCUAGUUGUAUUUUAUUACCCAUUAUGUAACCUCUUUCUAUUUCUUAGCUGUUGAUGACCUUUAUUUUCCUCUAUGAGAUUUGUUUUGUUUUGAGGAAGGGUCUCAUGUAGCUCAGGUUAGCCUUGAACUCAUUAUGUAGCUGAAGAUGAUGCUGAAUUGCCUCCCUUCCAAAGUAGUGAGAUUAUAGGUGUGCACCAUUACUCAUCGAGAGUGAUGUUCUUAGGUUUCACAAAUGAGUGAGCAUAUGCCAUAUUUGUCUUUCUAUGCCUAGUAGAUAUUAAUUCUAAUUUUUAGAACAACACUGUACUUUUAAUCUAUAUUUUAUUUUAAAAGAAGAAAAUCAAGGCCAGAAUAAGUUAAAUGAUACAUUCAAGAUAGCUCAUAAAGGAAAGGCUGUAAGGCACUGGCACGGCGGCUCAGUGGGCAAGGGCUGCCAAGCAGGAUGGCCUGAUUGGAUCCCUGGAUCCCACAUGGUGGAAGAAGAGAACUAACUCCUGAAAGUUAUCCUCUGACUUCCAUACAUGUGCUGUGACAUGCACAUACAAACAUGCAUAAAGACACAAAGUAAGUAAUUUUCUAUAAAAAGAAAAGGAGUCAAUAUUUGAGCUUUUUAUGUCUUAGGUUCCAUGAGGACUAUAUAAAACAUAUUUUCAAACUGGAGGUCAAAAUGAAAUAAUAGGCUGGAGCAUAAUUUUGAUGGAAAGCACUAAGCAUUAAAAACAAAAGGCACUUGGGAGGCAGAAGCAGGAGGAUCAAUAGUCCAAAGUCAUCCCUGGCCAACGUAGAGAGUUCAAAGCCAGCAUGGGCUACUCAAAAUCUUGUCUCAAAAACCAAGAACUGGAGAGAGGGAUGGCUUAGUGAUUAAUAGCACUUACUCCUUUUGCAGAGAACCUGAGAGUCUAGUUCCUAGUACCCAUACUGGGCAGGUCAGAACUACUGUAACAUCCGUUCCAGAGGAUCAACACCCUCUUCUGGCCUUUUAAAUUUUCAUUUAAACAGGCUCAGCUGGUUGAGAACUGUAAUGCUCUUGCAGGGGAUCUGAUUUGGGGUUCCAGCACCCACAAGUUCAAGUUCACUACUCUCUGUAACUCUAGCUCCAAGUAAUCAUAUGUCUCUGGCCUCUUUGGGCACCCACAUUCAUAUACCUACACACACAACUACAUAAUUAAAAAUAAAUGAAGUAAAAUCAAUAAAAACCAUGGUAAAACCCCACAAAUAAUCAAAUUGCUUGUCUCCUAAUACUGUCUUAAUUUUAAAUUCACAUUUUUUUUCUUUUACAGAUUCUGUGUCAUAAAUACCUUAUUGGUGUGUUGGCAUAUAUGACAGAACUGGCAAUUUUUCAAAUUGAAUGAAUUUUUGUAUGGACUAAGUGAUGCAUUAUAAACUGUUUUGAUCAUUUGCUGAACUGCGAUGCCAAGUGGGACAGUGGAAGAAAUGGAGCACUUGUCUCAGGGUGCCUCUGGAGUUGCCCAGAUGGAUAUAGAACAUAGUGGUAGUGGGUGAGCCGCGUUCAUGGGCUUGUGUAUCCAGCAUAUCACUGUGGCUGUGUCCUGUUAUAAAAGAUGCUGAAUUGUUAAUAUAAAAGGAUCCAAUUUAGUCAAAUAAACUUACCUAAAAUCUGGUGUUUCCAAUUGAAGUUAUUUAUUCUGUUAGUGGGGCUUGCCUCUGAGGUUCCUUCCUGACUUCCUUGAUUUUUCACCUCUAGAUUUCCCUCAGUUUGGUUUUUUGAUUCUCUUUCCACUUUCAUGUCUUGAACUGUUUUAUUAAUUUCUUUCUACUGUUUGUGUCUUUCAUAGAGUUAAGGAUUAAUUCCCUUUUUUAAAGACCUCUACCAUAUUCAUAAGUGCUAUUUUAAGGUCUUUUGUCUUGUGUUUCAGCUAUGUUGUAAUUCUCAGGGCCUACUGUGGUAGGUUGCUGGGCUCUAGUGGAGACAUUGUGUCCUGGCUGUUACUGAGUAUAUUUUUAUGAUGGCAUCUGGGUUUGGGAAGAGUGUAAUACAUGAUGUUGAUAUUC